rnacentral:rRNA from 1 species
UACGGAGGGAGCUAGCGUUGUUCGGAUAUACUGGGCGUAAAGCGCACGUAGGCGGCGCAGCAAGUCAGGGGUGAAAUCCCGGAGCUCAACUCCGGAACUGCCUUUGAAACUGCAGUGCUAGAAUCCUGGAGAGGCGAGUGGAAUUCCGAGUGUAGAGGUGAAAUUCGCAGAUAUUCGGAAGAACACCAGUGGCGAAGGCGACUCGCUGGACAGGUAUUGACGCUGAGGUGCGAAAGCGUGGGGAGCAAACAGG